UUCUUGGUAGUAUAGUGGUUAGUAUUCCCGCCUGUCACGCAGGUGACCGGGGUUCGAUUCCCCACCAGGGAA